rnacentral:rRNA from 1 species
UAGGGAAUCUUCCGCAAUGGACGCAAGUCUGACGGAGCAACGCCGCGUGAGUGAAGAAGGAUUUCGGUUCGUAAAACUCUGUUGUUAGAGAAGAACAGCGCAUAGAGUAACUGUUAUGCGUGUGACGGUAUCUAACCAGAAAGCCACGGCUAACUACGUGCCAGCAGCCGCGGUAAUACGUAGGUGGCAAGCGUUGUCCGGAUUUAUUGGGCGUAAAGCGAGCGCAGGCGGUCAAUUAAGUCUGAUGUGAAAGCCCCCGGCUUAACCGGGGAGGGUCAUUGGAAACUGGUUGACUUGAGUGCAGAAGAGGAGAGUGGAAUUCCAUGUGUAGCGGUGAAAUGCGUAGAUAUAUGGAGGAACACCAGUGGCGAAGGCGACUCUCUGGUCUGUAACUGACGCUGAGGCUCGAAAGCGUGGGUAGCAAACAGG